rnacentral:rRNA from 1 species
UACGUAGGGUCCGAGCGUUUGUCCGGAAUUAUUGGGCGUAAAGAGCUCGUAGGCGGUUUGUCGCGUCUGCUGUGAAAUCCCGAGGCUCAACCUCGGGUCUGCAGUGGGUACGGGCAGACUGGAGUGCGGUAGGGGAGAACGGAAUUCCUGGUGUAGCGGUGAAAUGCGUAGAUAUCAGGAGGAACACCGGUGGCGAAGGCGGUCUGCUGGGGUAACGCUGACACUGAUGCGCGACAGCGUGGGGAGCAAACAGGG